CGCGCGCUCCCGCGAACCUCUCUUCCGUUUUAUAACACAUGAAACUAAUGCUUACACAUUUCAGGAUAAUGUCGUCAUGCAAAAAAAAAAAAAGGAUUAUUUUAAACUAUAGUCUCACACAGCCAGAUAUAUAGUCUAUAGUCUCAAAUAGGCAUAUAAAACUGUCGUAAUAGUGCAAUUUUAAUUACCUCAUCUGUCGACAUGAUGCUGCUGAACUGCAGAGCUUGUGUGCAAACAUAUCCACAUCGCGAUGAUUAGAUGCUUUCUUUGCUGUUUUUUCACUGCUGUAAUUUUAGUUGUGUGUUUAUUUUGUUAUUGAAACGAAAGUGUGCAACACAUAGGUUAUUCAUCUAAACAUCGCUCUCAGCAGCGUGGACGACGUCGGGAUGUUUGUUAGCAGUAUAUCGCAGCAAAGUGUGUCGGACCAUCAUGCCAACGGCUUUAAAGUUCCAUCAGGGAUCCCUGCCGAACCUCUGCCAGGCCAGCUAAUCUGUAAUCAUUCAUGGCUGACUUAUACAAACUGCUCGUGCUGGUGCUCAUUUCUGGCACUCGACAGCAACCGUCGGACGCAUUCUCCAUCUCCCCGCAGUAAACAAACGGCGCGUGGAAAGGUUACCCAAUAGUGUGAGCAGCCAGAUCUCCAAAGGAAACGGGGUAUUAAGCACGUCGGAGCUUUUCAAGUCCAAAAAGAUGAAUGAAAAUCAUACAUGCUCAGAACAACAUGAGGAUGCCGGAAAAAACGACUGAUGCAAAGAGGCGUCUGUCAAGCCAAUGAGGACGGAAGAUGAAGACGGGACUGCCGAAAUAAGGGUAUCUGGGGUCCGUCUUGAGGAACUGUUGGAUUAGACACCGUUCUGUUAGGUUAAAGAGGAGGUUUGCUCGUCUGAUUCAGUCUUGAGUGGAGAGCAGCUUCCUGCUGUGGUGAAGUCCCUCCACCUCCAGGGCAUCACGACUCAAGAGGGACUGAGAGAGAGAAAUACACAGUAAACAGACGGAAACACUUCUGGCAGCGGGAAUUUCCUGAGAGCGGAUCGAAAGGAUGGCUGCGGUGUUCGCCGGCCCAAACUGCACCACAGGAAGUGUCUGCACGACUCCAGAAGCAGAGGUCAAGGCCAGGGGUCACGGGUGGCACGGCAGAGAUUUACGCCGAGAGAGAGCCGAACCCGUUCCCAGCCUUCAUCUAUUUCCCGGGGAAAUUAGCCAUAAAGUCACCGUUUUCAUCUUUCAAGGUUUUGUCAUAAACUGUCAUCUUUCCUCGUCUUUGAUUUGAAAAAAAAAAAAAAAAAAAAUGAUGAUAAAAAAAAAAAGAACAACAAUAGCCUAGAACAGUUUAUUCUACUGUAUUCUUUUCAUCUCAAGUUAACCUCUCGUUUUACUGUCCGUUGUUUCCGGCACGGACCACCCCAUUGUUUAAAGACGCCUGUGAAAAAAAACAAAAAAGUUUCACAUUUUCUGAAAUGUGCAGGGCUGCUCUCUGAGGUCCAUUUCAUUUUAACCAAAUGGGGGGGAAGCUUGUCUUUACCGCGGUGAGCAGAUGGAACUAUAAAUCAAGGCAGCCGUUGCCGCCCUGUAGAGGGCCGACCACAGCUGCCACUCUCUCUCUCUGACUCUCUGCGUUUCGCUGAAAAUCUUUUCAGGUCCAUCGUCAAGCAAUCUGGGCUUCUAUUUUUUUAUAUAUAUACACACACACCACACCUCCCCUCUCGGUACAGUCAUAUCCAUCAAAACGACACGCGCCCAUCAACCUACUGCCGCGAUCGAUUGGCACACUUAUUUCUGCGCAUAGCCAAUGCCCCGCUCUGGAGGUAAAGCCCCACGACAGGCCCCUCAUUUUGGCUCUUUAGCCCCCAGCAACCACUGUGACUCUGGCAGCAGCAGGCCAGGCCUCCUCCAUUAAAGUUGCAUUAUGAUGGAUAUCAAGGCAUCCAAGCCCUGAGUGUUUUAAACGAGAGGUGACAAGAAACGAAACACGGGCUAUUGUUUUUCGCUCCAUCCUUAACAGCCCCCCACCCCCAAACAUCCUUGCAGAACGGUAUGCGCCGAUUUUAACAUAUUGGCUGUUUUGCUAAGCAAAUAGACUCAAUAAUCUGUGCAUAACCUAGAAGAAAAGGCCGGCGGAGGCUGCAGUGCCGCAGAUGACCAGAUGGUGGCGCUCUAAUGCCACAGAUAUCAUCAGCGCUGCUGAGUUGAGGGCUCAAGACAAAGACUGUGAAGAAGAGAAAUGUUCAAAUGGAGAAACUACACAUAAAUUCAUACUUUUUACAGUAUCAGCAAUGAUUUCCCUCAAACGUUGCAGACACAUAUCAGCACUGUGACAGCAGAGUAAACACUCUCAAAUUAGUUCGUUUAGAGCUGAGGUUAAUCACUGAUAGCACUUUAUCUGGUUAAAAGAAAUCUAAUCACAGGACCUGUUUUAAUUAGGUUUCUUACUCAAAGAAAGAGCUGAAUUAUGAAGAUCUAUGCAGUUUAUUUUUUGAUUUGCAUGUGCCAUUUUUUUUUUCAGCUUUCUCAUCUCAUUUUUGCUUUAUUUUGUCAGCUGCGAUGCUUUAUGCAUUCUUUUAAUUGAUCAUAUAAACUUCAAGAGAUUUUCCAUUUGCCAAAAGGUAGUCUUUAUCAUCAACAUUCAAUCUAUAAAUCAAUCAAUCAAGGAAGCAAAUUAAUACUUAAAUACAUGCUGACAAUCUUAAACAUUCAAUCAAUUUCUGCUCUUAAACUCAGAGUUUUAUGCUCUGAAUGGUUUGGAUUUUUAAAAGAAAAAGAUUUUGCAUUUUAAAGGUAUUUACACUCUAAAAAAAAAAUGCUGGGUUAAAAUCAACCCAAGUUGUGUUAAAUGGGCAAACCCAGUGAUUGGGUUGUUUUAACCCAGCAGU